UACAGAGGGUGCGAGCGUUAAUCGGAAUUACUGGGCGUAAAGCGUGCGUAGACGGUUAUUUAAGUCGGGUGUGAAAGCCCCGGGCUCAACCUGGGAAUUGCAUUCGAGACUGAAUAGCUAGGGUACGGUAGAGGGAAGUGGAAUUUCCGGUGUAGCGGUGAAAUGCGUAGAUAUCGGGAAGAACAUCAGUGGCGAAGGCGGCCUGCUGGGCUGUUGCUGACGCUGAGGCGCGACAGCGUGGGAGCAAACAGG
rnacentral:rRNA from 1 species